UUCCCCCUUGUUACCCUCACAAAUGCCGCCAACCCUAACCUCAUUUUCUCUCCUUCAUUUCCCUCACUGUAGCCUCGUCUCUCUCAUUCCUGACUCUUCACCGCCGGCGCUAGUACUGUUCUCGAUGUCGGUGGUUCUUUGUUGCUUCCUCCCUUUAUUCUUUUCUUUUUCUCUUUUCACUUUCAUUGUUGUUUUCGUGUGCUGCCGUUGCCGGUAGCGCUAGUUUUGCCGUUGGUGGUGGUUUUGUUCCCUCCUCUUUUCUUUUGCCAAAAUUCUUUUCCUAAAACCGGUCAAAGACAACCAGAACCGGUUUAGCUGAAACCUUGAACAGGUUCAAAAUUUUAGGGUUUAGCUUAGCCGAAACCUUAAAACCGGUCCAAAAUUGGUUUAGCCGAAACCCUAAAAGCCAGUUUUCAUUGGGAACCCUCUAACCGAUCCGGAACCCAAAAUCUGUUUUAAAACCCUUUCUCCCUUCCUCGGUCCCCGGCUCCGUCGCCUUAGUCAGCCUAGGCCUUUCCGACGGCAGCGGCUCCCUCUUCCCUUUUCUUUCUGCUGCCAAUUUCCAUCCUUUCUAAAAAAAACCUAGCCACCGUCCUUCAUUUCAGGGUGCAAGGUCUCUUUCGCUCUUAAAACAGUUGGCUUUUCACUUUGCGAAUGGCUUUCACUUUGCUUCCUUGCGAAGAUCGUAUGAAUGGUUUGGAGUCAAUGCAAAAGACUUGAAUAUAUAUCCCUGUUAAGUGACAUUCGAGGUCCUUAGUAGUGACUGGUGAGCGCUGACCCAAGUUGUCGUUUGCCAGAUUCCAG